GGGGUGCUCGAGUGGCGAACGGGUGAGUAACACGUGAGUAACCUGCCCUUGACUUUGGGAUAACUUCAGGAAACUGGGGCUAAUACCGGAUAGGAGCUCCUGCUGCAUGGUGGGGGUUGGAAAGUUUCGGCGGUUGGGGAUGGACUCGCGGCUUAUCAGCUUAUUGGUGGGGUAGUGGCUUACCAAGGCUUUGACGGGUAGCCGGCCUGAGAGGGUGACCGGCCACACUGGGACUGAGACACGGCCCAG
rnacentral:rRNA from 1 species